GAUGAACGCUGGCGGCGUGCCUAAUACAUGCAAGUCGAGCGAACAGACGAGGAGCUUGCUCCUCUGACGUUAGCGGCGGACGGGUGAGUAACACGUGGAUAACCUACCUAUAAGACUGGGAUAACUUCGGGACACCGGAGCUAAUACCGGAUAAUAUAUUGAACCGCAUGGUUCAAUAGUGAAAGACGGUUUUGCUGUCACUUCUAGAUGGAUCUGGGCCGCAUUGGCUGGUUGGUAGGGUCACGGGUUACCAAGGCAACGAUGCGUAGCCGACCUGCGGGGGUGAUCGGCGACAUGGGAACGUGGACACGGACCAUAGGACUACGGGACGCAGCAGUAGGGAACCGGCCGCAGUGGGGGAGAGCCUUGCGGAGCAACGGCGCGUGAGUGAUGAAGGCCUUCGGUGCGUAAUACUGUGUUAUGAGGUAAGAACAGAUUUGGAAGUAGACAUGCCGGGAGUGACGGUACUGAGUCAGAAAGCCCCGGCUAACUACGUG
rnacentral:rRNA from 1 species